rnacentral:rRNA from 1 species
GACGUAGGGGGCCAGCGUUGUUCGGAAUUACUGGGCGUAAAGAGCGCGCAGGCGGUCGUUCAAGUCGCGUGUGAAAGCCCCCGGCUCAACUGGGGAGGGUCACGCGAUACUGAUCGACUCGAAGGCAGGAGAGGGAAGUGGAAUUCCCGGUGUAGUGGUGAAAUGCGUAGAUAUCGGGAGGAACACCAGUGGCGAAGGCGACUUCCUGGCCUGUUCUUGACGCUGAGGCGCGAAAGCUAGGGGAGCAAACGGG